AUCCGGGGCGGGUCCUGUCAUUGUGAGCCCCGGAAAAAUGUGUCGAGCUUAUUCCAUGAUCUCGAUAAUCAUCUAAGUGCUCGAGGAAAUUUUCAGAAAUUUUUACAAAGUGAAAUCCUUGAUUUAAGAGUUGGACUAUAAAGUCUAUGAUAUGGCGAGUUUGUGGAAAUUUUCGGGGAAUUUUCUGGGUAUCCGAGCUAUUUAUAGCUAUUUUCCGAAGUUGUGGAAUUUUAGAAAUUAAAUCAAGAAAUAGAAAAUAGGUGGAGAAUUCCCAGCCAUCCAUCAUUCCAUCGAUUGAUCACAACCGUUGGAUUUUAAAAGAGGAGGCUUAUAUAGCUGCUGGACCAGUUCAGGUGAUCUGGGAGACGCGCGAGAGAGAUAGCGAGCUGGGAGUUCCUAGACCCGGACGCCACCGCGACGCAAGAAGGAAACCCGACCAGAGGGACGCCUUCCGGCCACCCCACGACGGCGCGCGGCCACCAACAGCUUUGUAUUGUCAUCGCCGUCACGCCUGUAGCCUUUGAUUGCCCAUGCACUGGACGAGGAGGGAGACUCGACGGUGAGAAGCAGCAACUGCUCCGACGAGUUUCUGCAAUUUCCAGCCAACGCUUGGGCCGCAUUCGACAAGGUAUUUAGCAGCUGGCUAGGUAGAUCAUGUCGACAGCCUCAGUUCAUCACCAACCCAGUUUCGACAGUGAGCUCGGGGAGCUGAGUUUGGGUUGGUUCAAGGGAUUUCCUAUUUCGAAGGAUUUCCAGUUACCCGAGGAACGGAAGGUUCGUGAAUUUCGGACAACGUAAAAGGUUAAAGCAUCAGAAUCCAGGUAGGGGACUCGGGACUCAUUCGGUUAGUUGUUUUCUGUUUUGAAUUAAAUGUUUAUGCAUAUUUGAGUUGCAUGGUUUGGUUAUUGAUGGCUUGAGAGUGAGUGGAACAUAGCGAUUCCUUGGGCUUCGAUCCCCUAAAUCUCUGGAGGGGCCAUAUGGACGUAAUGGUGUCUAACAUCCUUUGAGGUGUGACACUAUUUCUAGGUGAUAUGGCGUAAGUGGACACUCUCACUACACUUACCUGGUGAUGAUUUUAUUUGAGGUAAGGCCGUGUAGUUGGUCCAUGGGACUGGCCAUCAAGUAUUAUGCAUUUCUUUGAGUUUUGUGCAUUGGAUUUUGAGUCCGAGAGAUAUUUAAAGUUUGUCGUUCUUUAAAGAAAUGAUUUCACUUUUUCAUACUGGGAUCCCAAAUUAUUAUCUUAUGUGUCGGUUUUCAAACAUAGUCUGUGAAGCCCCUAUUGAGUAGUGAGGACGA